AUAGCCUACCUGGCGACGAUCUGUAGCGGGUCUGAGAGGAUGAUCCGCCACACUGGAACUGAGACACGGUCCAGACUCCUACGGGAGGCAGCAGUGGGGAAUUUUGGACAAUGGGGGCAACCCUGAUCCAGCCAUGCCGCGUGAGUGAAGAAGGCCUUCGGGUUGUAAAGCUCUUUCAGCCGGGAAGAAAUCGUACAGGCUAAUACCCUGUGCGGAUGACGGUACCGGAAUAAGAAGCACCGGCUAACUACGUGCCAGCAGCCGCGGUAAUACGUAGGGUGCGAGCGUUAAUCGGAAUUACUGGGCGUAAAGCGUGCGCAGGCGGUUUUGUAAGACAGGCGUGAAAUCCCCGGGCUUAACCUGGGAACU
rnacentral:rRNA from 1 species